ACCCGCCGGGAGCACCCAUGGAGGUCGCUGCUUCUCCGUCUCGAUCCGUCCGUCGCCGGAGCCAGGACGGAGCAGCUGGAUCCCGCCGCGUGGCCUCGCAGGACGCCCCUCUCAUGUCCUCCACGGGACCCGCCGGGAGCACCCAUGGAGGUCGCUGCUUCUCCGUCUCGAUCCGCCCGUCGCCGGAGCCAGGACGGAGCAGCUGGAUCCCGCCGCUUGGGCCAUCCAGGACGCCCCUCUCAUGUCCUCCACGGGACCCGCCGGGAGCACCCAUGGAGGUCGCUGCUUCUCCGUCUCGAUCCGUCCGUCGCCUGAGCCAGGACGGAGCAGCUGGAUCCGCCGCGUGGCCACGCAGGGCACCUUUGGCGUCCUCCAUGCGCCUCUCCGUCUCGAUCCGUCCGCCGCCGGAGCCACGGCGGAGCAGCUGGAUCCGCCGCGUGGGCCGUGUUCUUCCAGCUCUAGUGUCGGAGCUCUUCUUACUCGAUUUCUCAAGGGAAAAUAUGACCCAUAUAUCUCAUCCUCGUGUCUUGGCUUGCUUGAUUCUUGCAACCGGAGGACAUAUAUAAGUCAGUAGGAUUUGAUUUAAUUUAGCAAUGUGGG
rnacentral:lncRNA from 1 species